rnacentral:rRNA from 1 species
GACGAACGCUGGCGGCGUGCCUAAUACAUGCAAGUAGGACGCAGUUGCGAACGGGUGAGUAACGCGUAGGUAACUGCCUAUUAGAGGGGGAUAACUAUUGGAAACGAUAGCUAAUACAGCAUACUAGUAGAUGGACCUGCGUUGUAUUAGCUAGUAGGUAGGGUAAUGGCCUAACUAGGCGACGGAUCAUAGCCGAACUGGGAGGGUGGUCGGGCACACUUGGACUGGGAACCGGGCCCAGCUCCUUCGGGGAGGAAGAGUAGGGGAUUUUCCGGAAAGGGGGGAACCCCGGCCGGGGAACCGCGCGGGGAUGAAGGAAGUUUUCGGGUUAUAAAGCUCCUUUGUUAAGGGAGCGGUACUUAACCAGAAAGGGACGGCUAACUACGUGCCAGCAGCCGCGGUAAUAC